CUUAAUGAGAGUUUGAUCCUAGCUCAGGGUGAAUGCUGGCGGCGUGGAUAAGUCAUGCAAGUCGAACGCCCCGCAAGGGGAGUGGCAAACGAGGUAGUAACGCGUAGGUAGAUCCCCCGAAGUCGAGCAUAGCGAGCCGAAAGGUUCGGUAAUUCUCGAUAGUCCCGCAAGGGUAAAGGUUUUUCGCUUCGGGAGUUGCCUGCGCAGUAUCAGCUAGUUGGUAGGGUAAUGGCCUACCAAGGCUACGACGCUUAGGGGCGCUGAGAGGCGGACCCCCACCGAUCGGACUGAGACACGGCCGAUACUCCUACGGGAGGCUGCAGACGAGAAUAUUCCGCAAUGGGCGAAAGCCUGACGGAGCGACGCCGCGUGAUGGAUGAAGUGCUUUGGUAUGUAAACAUCUUUUAUCGGGGACGAAGUUUAUUGACGGUACCCGAUGAAUAAGGGGCUCCUAACUCUGUGCCAGCAGGAGCGGUAAUACAGAGGCCCCAAGCAUUACCCGGAAUCACUGGGCGUAAAGGGUGUCUAGGCGGCCAUAUUAGUCGUUCGUUAAAUCCGCGGGCUCAACCUGCGGUCUGCGAGCGAAACGGUAUGGCUCGAGGGCGUGAGAGGUGCACGGAACUCAUGGUGGAGGGGUGAAAUCCGUUGAUAUCAUGGGGAACACCAAAGGCGAAGGCAGUGCACUGGUACGUUCCUGACGCUCAAACACGAAAGCCAGGGUAGCGAAUGGGAUUAGAUACCCCAGUAGUCCU
rfam:Candidatus Kaiserbacteria bacterium RIFOXYD1_FTLL_47_14 rifoxyd1_full_scaffold_3871, whole genome shotgun sequence.